GGGGUUACGCUGUCGGAUUAUUGGGCGUAAGAGCUUGUAGGCGGUUUGUCGCGUCUGCUGUGAAAUUUCGGGGCUUAACCCCGAACUUGCAGUGGGUACGGGCAGACUAGAGUGUGGUAGGGGAGACUGGAAUUCCUGGUGUAGCGGUGAAAUGCGCAGAUAUCAGGAGGAACACCGAUGGCGAAGGCAGGUCUCUGGGCCAUAACUGACGCUGAGAAGCGAAAGCAUGGGGAGCGAACAGGAUUAGAUACCCUGGUAGUCCAUGCCGUAAACGUUGGGAACUAGGUGUGGGUCUCAUUCCACGAGAUCCGUGCCGCAGCUAACGCAUUAAGUUCCCCGCCUGGGGAGUACGGCCGCAAGGCUAAAACUCAAAGGAAUUGACGGGGGCCCGCACAAGCGGCGGAGCAUGCGGAUUAAUUCGAUGCAACGCGAAGAACCUUACCAAGGCUUGACAUGUACCGGAAACGUGCAGAGAUGUGCGCCCCGCAAGGUCGGUACACAGGUGGUGCAUGGUUGUCGUCAGCUCGUGUCGUGAGAUGUUGGGUUAAGUCCCGCAACGAGCGCAACCCUCGUUCUAUGUUGCCAGCACGUGAUGGUGGGGACUCAUAGGAGACUGCCGGGGUCAACUCGGAGGAAGGUGGGGAUGACGUCAAGUCAUCAUGCCCCUUAUGUCCAGGGCUUCACGCAUGCUACAAUGGCCGGUACAAAGGGCUGCGAUCCCGUGAGGGGGAGCGAAUCCCAAAAAGCCGGUCUCAGUUCGGAUUGGGGUCUGCAACUCGACCCCAUGAAGUCGGAGUCGCUAGUAAUCGCAGAUCAGCAACGCUGCGGUGAAUACGUUCCCGGGCCUUGUACACACCGCCCGUCACGUCACGAAAGUCGGCAACACCCGAAGCCAGUGGCCUAACCACCUUGUGUGGGGGGAGCUGUCGAAAGUGGGGCUGGCGAUUGGGACGAAGUCGUAACAAGGUAACC
rnacentral:rRNA from 1 species